GCAGAUUGGACACCAGCUCAUCGCCAACGUCGAGGCGAUCAAGAAUGCCAAGAGGGAGGCAGCCCAGGUGGAGGAAGGUUGCCUGGCUGAGGUUGCCCGCCUCAAGGAGAAGAUCAUCGAGGUCGCAAGUCUCCAGGAGGCACUGCAGAAGGAGGGACAAACCUUAUCCGAAUUGAGGGCUGCCAUGGAGGAGGAAAGAAAGAAGGCAGAGGCCGAGGUCUCUGAAC
rnacentral:lncRNA from 1 species